rnacentral:rRNA from 1 species
GUGAGGAAUAUUGCACAAUGGGCGAAAGCCUGAUGCAGCAACGCCGCGUGAGCGAUGAAGGCCUUCGGGUCGUAAAGCUCUUUUGAGAGGGACGAGAUAGGACGGUACCUCUUGAAUAAGUCACGGCUAACUACGUGCCAGCAGCCGCGGUAAAACGUAGGUGGCAAGCGUUAUCCGGAUUCACUGGGCGUAAAGCGAGUGCAGGUGGCUUUGUAAGUUGGAUGUGAAAUUUCCCGGCUUAACCGGGAAGGGUCAUUCAAUACUGCAAGGCUUGAGGGCAAAAGAGGGGGGUGGAAUUGCCGGUGUAGUGGUGAAAUGCGUAGAUAUCGGCAGGAACACCUGUGGCGAAAGCGGCCCCCUGGUUUGCUCCUGACACUCAGACUCGAAAGCUAGGGUAGCGAACGGGAUUAGAAACCCCGGUAGUCC